UUGAGCUUCAGUUGAGCUUCAGUCACGUGUGUAAUACUGUCGAGUCAGGCUCCCAACCGCACUGUAGUCGCAUCCGCAACACCUUACACAGGUCACCAAGCUUGACCCUUUACCCAUUACAGCUUCGUCUAUUCAGCCUCCCUACGUUCAUUUAGCAAUAAAAUUCGCAUACUAACCAUACGCGUUCACCCCGGCUCUCACGCCUCAUUCCAUUCAUCUCCCACAGUCGACAUCCUAGCAUUGGCCUUUCAGCCUCCCCUUGGUUGUAUCGCAACCCUAGCCUUGGCCAUCCCACUCAUCUCAGUCCCAUUCACCAGACCCAUCAUGGGCCCUCCUCCGCUUCGGUCACCUCCACGACCCCCACAUAGACUAUCUGGCUCACUUCGGUCGCAUCCACGACAUCUCAGCACGGGGUGUCCAGCCAUUUCAAAUAGGCAGCAUUUGUGACAUAUCCUCGGAAACUCAAGUUGGCUCUUGUGAGUCAGUCUCAGUCGCAUCCGUGACACUUCAGGCUGUGGCCUGCUGCCAGUUUAAGGCUCAUGCGCAGCAAGUCGGCAAUAUUCCAGUUACCUCUACAUUCACACAAAGGUCAAACAGUUUCCGUCCAUCCGCCAGAGUAACUCACGUCAAGUCCCCACAAACCAGGAGCCCACGACGAACAUAGCGCCAGAGCAGCAGAACGGAGCCCUAAACCCUCACCCAGGCACUGAAACUCAAUCGAGGACCCCAAAGGCUCCGGGCCAUUGGACGGCAUCCUGCCACGCAUAGAAACACUUCCUAAAUGCCUCCCCCAGCCAACCCACCCGCAGUUCCUGGGCGAGUGGCCGGUGGUGUUAGGAGUCCAGAACUCACCUGCAUGGGAAUUGUGGGAAUUAUAGUCGUCAACCAACGCUGCAACAAAGGCGAAAUUUUGGUAACGCUUAUGUAUUGCAGGGGGAAGUCCAGCGGGUAGUGGACGACGUUCGGUAUGAAAUUGCCACUGGCGGCCAGGUAUGAUUCGGAUGUAGCCGAGCUGCGGCUAAGAAAGAAGUGGAUAGCCUGAAUUCCACAAACGGAAGAGGAGGACGAUGCUCUCGGAAAAUAAGUGCCGCUGCUGUCUGCCGGCGCCGUGCAAUUCCAUAUCCAGUGUCUUUGUACAACAUAUUCACCUUCACGCUAUCCAGAUGUGGCCCGUUGGGCUCCUCGCUGCGAAGAUAAUACCUUAAUCCUCCGGUCGUUUCAUGUAGGGAAGCCGCAGUGAACUAACCGGAAUAGUGGCAUCCUCAUAAGGGCCUUCGAGCCUAGCCUCGAUCGCAUGCAUAGCUUCCCCACACGAGCCAUCCAGGCUCACCUCAGUCAAAUUUAUGGCCCCCAGCAUGGUCCUUACCACUCUUCAAUGAGCUCUCCGACCUUCUACAGGACUUCCGCUUCAUCACAGCCAGCACUGUCAACCUGAGGAUAGACCAUCCGGUGCGCUCAGCAACACGCACGAUGUGCAAACAACGGCCCUCGCGCCCUUAGUACAUUCAUCUCUGCAUGGGUCACCCGGCCCCUCUUCAGUCUCAUACGCGAUACCGUAGCAAGGGUCACCAUCAGGGCUCACUUCCGGACCUGGGCCAUCAGGUGCCACUAGCAUCCACUCGGCUACACCCCGAAUCUGGGCCAUCAUGGCCAUCAGGUGUCGCCAGCGGCAACUCUACGACACCCAGAAACAGAGCCAUCAGGCCCCACUACCAUCAAUGCUGCAACACCCGGCCGAGGAGGCUUCGCUAACAUCGACCCACUAAACCCCGAACUUGGGCCAUCAGGCCUCACUAAUGUCGAGUCCGAGAGGCCUCACUAACGUCGCCUCGGUGACACCCCGAAUCUGUGCCCUCAGGCCUCGCAAACAUCGACUCCUCAACACUGUAAAGCUGGCCCUCAGGCCACGCUAAUGUCGAUUCCGCAACACUGUGACCUGGGCCAUCA
rnacentral:lncRNA from 1 species